AUGGAAGUAUGUGAAGGGGCAGAGGUUAACACAGGAGUCCUUAUGGGCCCUUCCAGGUCCAAAUUUCUAUGUCUUUUUUUUUUUUUUCAUUUCUCUGAAAUGCAAAUAUUGGCCUGUUUCUCUGUAAAUCCUGCUUGAGAUGAAACUGAAUUUUAAGUUUAAGAUGAAACAGAAUCUAUAAAACCAUCCCUUCCCAAUUUCCUUCCUGGGCAGUAGUUACAGCCACCUCUGACCACACCAAACCCAGCAGCUUUUCCAUAUUUUACCUCAGUUCCCAACAGCAUGUUUGCAAUUUCCCAUGAUUCAUUUUCAUCUCUCUCCAGCAAACAAGGCCUCUUGUGAAAUGAGAAAAGGAGAGGUCAGCACACAUACUGGUCUUCUGGCUUCACAGAAAACAUCACACAAACCCAGGGAAGCCUGUGUGGGGGCUGCCAGGACACUGCACGGCUACUUUGCAUGCUGGCACUGCAUUUGGAUCCCUUAUGAGACAGAAAUCUCAACUUCAAAUCACUCUGGUUGGAGAAGGAGCUGAGAAUAAAGAGGGCAGGGGUUGCCAUGACUUUGCAAUCAGACUGCGACCAACCCCUUCAUGCCAAAGUUUAGAAUAAUAAACUUUGGAGCUAGAAAUGAAUUUAGACAUCAUCUGGUCCAACUGACAUCUUAUAAACAAGAAAACUGGGCAAAUAAGGAAGUGACCUAUCUCAAGCCACAUGACUCAUAAGUGGCACAGCCAGUGGGUGAGAGCAUCUGGAGUAUAAGGAACAGAAAGAUAGAGGCUCAUGUUACCUCAGAUCAUGCGGAUUUGUUUUAAAGGUGCACCAGGUAGGGAUUGUCAGAGGUAGACAGCCAAAUUUCACCAAGUGCUAAACACAGCAGGUACUGAGGGUACAAAAGGGUAGCUCUAGUAAAUAUAUACCCAGUCCGCUGCUUUCACUCUGGCAAGCACUCCUUAGAUGUGGGCAUCUGCUUGCUCUAAUCCUUUGCUAUUAUUGGCACUAACUAUUCUCUGCCUCUGUUUUUCCUGCUCUCGUUCAAAUGAACACGUAUAUAUCUGUUCUCCUCUCUGCUUCUUAAUUCCUGCUUCCCAAGGCUUCUGCUUCAUCUGGAGGCUUUCUGACUUACUUUCCAUGUGUCUCCUGCCUUUUGCCCAUCUAGGCACGGUCAACUACUCUUGGAGAGACUUACACUCAAGUUCCACCAAAGCUCUUCU
rnacentral:lncRNA from 12 species